CUACUACUCCCUCCGUUCGAAAUUACUCGUCGAAGAAAUGAAUGUAUCUCGAUGUAUUUUAAUUGUAGAUACAUCCAUUUUUGUGACAAGUAAUUCCGAACGGAGGGAGUAGUUA
rnacentral:pre_miRNA from 1 species